rnacentral:lncRNA from 1 species
CUAGAAUGGCACUUCCUGGCAAACCAACCUGCAGACAUCCCCUGACGUGGACACGGGAGAUAUGGGGGGUAAUUUUUCAGAGAAGGGAGAAGGACAAUCCAGGUCGCUGUCCUUUUCCGUGGAGCAGAGGGGCGCCCGCAGAACCCUACUCUUCAGUUUUGCAGAUGUGCUGUCCUCAAAGACAUCGUCGUCUCCCAUCUCGUCAGAGCAGAAGCCCAUACUCCCUGCCAGCCCGCUGGAGGACUUGGCAGUGUGCAGGCGAGCAGCGCAGCUCUCCAGCUCAUGGAACCUGUGCAGGCUGCUGGCGCUCAAGCCGUGCGAGAGUGAGAACAGGUACUGGAGCAGUUGCCGGCUUCGGGACGUGGCCUCACCAUCCGCCUUCUCUUCCAGCAGCAGGCCGGGCCUGCCCCCCUUGCCAGCUUCCACCUCUGAGGCAGUUGAGCGACCGGCAGAAAGGCAUGAAACACAAGAAUGUUUGGAAUUGCCAAGAGGUUUGUGGUUCAGGGUUCUUUUUUCUUUAUGAUGAAACCUGUUAGUUCUGAGACACGUAUCUUGAGGGAGUAUUAAUUUCCCUUCAGAACAAGUUCUUUCCACAUAGGCAAAACUUUCUGAAGUAUCCUGCGCCUUCUCACCCACAUCAUUGAGGGACCUUGAGAACUUUAGUGUUCUUCUGGCUUUGGUAUUCUUAGCAGGCUUCAAGGCCUGGGCCCAUUCUGAACCAAAGGAAUUUCUCUUUGACGCCUGUAAUGUGUCCUUACAGAUAACUGUCACAGUGAGCCCUUGUGUCAGAGAACUCUGGCAGUGAGGAGCUUUCGAGACAACAGCAGACUGCACGGAACUGUGGUGACAACACUCAGAAAACACUGCACUGGAACUGCAUGCAGAACAGUGGGAUAAAAGCACAGAAAGUAAAAACAAUUUUAAAAGAGAAUAGACAUCAUAGUGAAGAAAUGAGACUAGCAUGGGUAACUUGGUGAGCAAACCACACAUAAAACUCGCCAACUGUUUAGACCAAAGGCAGAUUGAUUAAGCAAAUGGAAAUUCAAGAACCUACAGACACUAAUGCUUAUUUCUGGCUGCACACUGAUCAUGGCAGCAUCUGAAGCAGAGUGUUACCUGCAGAUGUCCUGGCUGGAUGGCGUGAUAGAAGUGCGAGAGAAGGAGGACACCGGAGCCGGAGCUGAUGCUGACGGAGGACUCCCAGCCUGCAAUGACAGACCUGUGGUCAGUGUUCAGACAUCUAUUUGUUGCUGUUUUAUUCUGAUGUUUCCCUCAGAGCCUUUUCAAUCAGCUACAGGCCAGAAGGAAUCAGAACCCCAUGGAAAAGGGCUAUGCCAGGUACUUUGGGGCACAGGCUUCUAAAUGACAUUGCUUAAACAACUUUCAGACCAUACCAGUGGCCUAAGUCAGAAUUUCCAG